rnacentral:lncRNA from 1 species
UCUCAGCACAGCCCGAGCAGGGACCUGCUCCUGCCCAUCCCCAUCCCUCCUUCUCCUGCAGCCCGCACCUCUCCGGGCGGCUCCGCUCAGCCCCACUGAGCUCAGGCCACUGUCCUGUCCUGCUGUCCCCACCGAAGGACCGAGAUGGUGGCCACCUGCCUGCACCUGGCUGGAUUUGUCUGCAGCUUUGUAGGGUGGAUUGGGGUGGUUGUGGCCACGGCCACCAACGACUGGGUGGUGACUUGCGGCUACACCAUUACCACCUGCAGGAAGAUGGACGAGCUGGGAUCCAAGGGGCUGUGGGCAGAUUGUGUGAUGGCAACGGGGCUCUAUCACUGCAAACCCCUCGUGGACAUCCUCAUACUGCCGGGGUACGUCCAAGCGUGUCGAGCGCUGAUGAUCGCCGCCUCCGUGCUGGGCCUUCCCGCCAUCUUCCUGCUGAUAACGGUGCUGCCCUGCAUCCGCAUGGGCCACGAGCCCGGGGCGGCCAAGUACCGGCGCUCCCAGCUGGGAGGGAUCCUCAUCAUCCUCCUGGGUAAGGCACAGCCACAGCCGGGGCUGCAGCGUGUCCCUGUCCCCGGGCGGCUCCUCCUGGAAGGGUUUCUGCAGGCCCUGGAGCUCUCCAGGGUGGGCAAAAGGCACGGGCAGCAGUGGGAGGACAAGGACAGGAGGCAGGGAUGAAGCAGAGUUAGAGGGAGGGAUGUGAAUCUCUCUGUCUUUGCCUUGUGGGGUUCUCAGGCACGGCUUCUCCUGGAAGGCCAUCGGAUCCAGCAGGCAUGGAUCGUGCUGGUUCACCCUGGAGGUGAUUUUUGGGAAAGGGUCUAAACUUCCAAGCUACUUAUAGAGAAGGCAGAGCCUCCAAAUUUUCCCUGGACAUCCAGGGCAAGUAAGCUGAGGCAUGGAUGGUGCUGGCUCACUGUAGCAUGAUUUUUUGGAAAGGAUCUAAACUUUCAAUUUACUUAUGGGGAAGGCAGAGCCUCCCAAUUUUCCCUGGACAUCCAGGGCAAGUAAGCUGAGGCAUGUGGGAAGGGAAGCCCUUACUGAACGGGGCUGGUCCUGUGGAAACCACGAGGGAAGGAGCGUGGAGGUGGCACAGACAUGGGAAGAGGGAUGGCACUGGCACGGCAGGAGGACUGGCGUGCCCUCUGUGCCUCCCAACCCCCUCUGGCCAGCCUCGCCCUUGGCCUCCAAGCUCCCCUGGGAAUUUCUUCCCGUCCUCGGUGCUUGUGGAGGAGAUUGUUUUGAGCAGCUCAGACUGUGGAGCUCAUUGUCCCCCAUGCAACACCUGCAUGUUCUUGAGGCCUCGUCAUCUCAGCAACAGCCUGUGGGGCCUUGUUGUCACCCGUCUGUGGCAGAGGAGGAGGGGAGAGGCAAAGUGACCUCUUUGUGUGGCUCUGCUGCUCGCUGGCAGCCAGCACUGACAUCAUGCCCGUCUUCUUUCUUCUUCUUCUUCUUUUUUUUCAAGUGGGCGCUGAAUAUAGCUGCACACUCGGAAGGGCUGUCCUCUGGAUGCUCCUUCCAUGCAAGUCAUCCCACCUCCAUCACCUUGUGGUUAGCACAAGUCCACACAUCCCAAAUCUGAGGGAUUGAGUCCAAGGGGCCUGUGCAGUUUAAGAGCACAGCUGGAAGUCCUAACAUCAGCUUUAAAGGGCCAGUCCAGAACAUUCCAAUCAUGAACAGCCAUGCUGGAAUGUGAUCUUCAUCCCUGCCCUGGAACCUUGAGUCACAUAGUUGGGCUUGGAGAAGUGACAGAAAAGGUGGAGGUUUUCUCCCUGUGAAUGAAAUUUUAGUGCUGGAGGAGUCUGCUCUGCCCUGCCCAGGAUGGGGAGGCCCAGCAGAGCUGCACUUUGCCACAAAAGCCACAAGAUUUUGGUUCCAGUCAAGGAGAGCUAUGCUGCAGGUCAGCCCUCCUUGCAUGGCUGCAGGUGUGGGGGCAGGAGGACUGUCCCUAAAAAUCCCAGAGGGAAAGAGGAUGACAGGACCAAAGGCAGCAAAUUCCAGUGACACUGUUGGGUACCACUGUAUUAGAACAAGUGAAAUCCUUUGUGCUGCAGUGUCCCACCAGGGUUUGGUGUCUGGUGUGCCACUAUCCCAUCCCAUCACGCUGCAGUGGGACACCAGGGAGGAGAGCAGGUGUGAGGGGAUGAUGGAGAGUUGUGGUGCUGCACAAACCAGGUCCCCCUCUGCCUCAGCACACGGCUUUCCAGCUAGGCAGAUCCUGUGAGGAAAGGAAGCCUGAGAGAUCACAUCUCUCACAUUUGUGUCAUGGAGACAUUGGCAGACAAAUUAUCUUUGGGUCAGAUUUAGACCAUAUCUUAUUGAUUUUCACUCCUGUGAGCUCUCAAGCACCUACAGGUGAAAGAUUUACUGGUGUUGCUGAUGCCCUGAAUGAUCUGGGCUGGGAUCAGCAGCCUGGUCACAAUGUUUUAGUCACAAUUACAAUAAUGCUCUUUUUGUCAGAUCAAAAAUGAAGAAUAAAUAAGCUUCUUUUGCUCCUAGGUUGCUUUUUUUAAAUAAAGGAAAGAGGAAACCAACCCACAUUUAUAUUUACGAAGCCCAUUUUUUUCCAGGCCCAUCAGCAAGACAGUCCCUUUGGAAGAAGAAUAAUGUACAGAGUUUAGGACUUUGACAUUAUUUAAGCUGAUUAAUGAUCUGUUAGCUGCAAGAUGAGGUGUCAGCAUUCCAGAGCAGUUAACAAGCAUGGAUCAGGCUCUGGAAGAUACAACACUGAGUUAAAAUCCAUUAUAUUCUAGAAGUAGCAUGCCCUGGACUGUUUUUAUUCACCCUCCAGCCACUGAACUCUCACUCAUGGUUUCCACAACCUCACAGGCUCCAGACUUUUCCUCUUAGGGGAGAGCAACAUCCAGAGCUCUGGUUAAAAGAAAAUGGCCCCCAAAACACUCCUUAAUGCAGCAGAAAUAGGGAGUGGGGAUGCAAAUAGGGAAGCUGGCCCCAAGGCAAACUUCACUUGCUGCUCAGGGAAGGGAUGGCAGUUUGUCACUGAAAUUUGGUAUAAGGGAAAACAGGGAUUGAAACACAGCACAGAGCCAAAAAGAAAAUAAAAGAAUAAAUACAUAUAGAAAAAACUGAAAAGUUGCCAGGAAAAUAAUGGGCUCAGAUAUUCCAUUGAUUUUUCUGUCCACUGAUAAUCACAGGCUGCCUGAGUGCAACCUGUGUGCACGCCCUGCUGUUUUGCUGCUGAUGUGUUUAUGGCUUUGUUUGAUCCUAUCUGACCAAGAGAAUUGAUUUAUGGCUGAAAACAGCCGUCAGCAGAGGUUUGCUCUGAGCUGGUGUGAAAAUAUUUCACACUAUGGUGUUGAUGGAAAAUCCCUGGCCCAGCCCGUGUUGUUGAUACUAAUUUGGAGGACCACUUGCUGGUAACCGAGGGGACAUUUUCCCAGUGGAGGAGAGGGACCCAGACACUGGAAAAUAGAUGAAAUAUAUGUUAGUGGGAAUUGCUACUAUAAAAUAAGCCAUUGGGUACUAAGUAAAGGGUGUUAAUGAGUUUUCCUGAAGACUGCCUGAGGUUUACUUGUAAAACCAUAGUUAUUAAGAUAAAAAGACUGCCUUGAAUGCAGAAAAAAAAAUGUUAUCUAUUUUAUUCAACUAAAUGCUUUGAAAGAGAAAUCCAUGUGACUUUGAGUCAGCAAUUCGGAAUAGUUAAAUUUAGAUGUGAAAGAAAAGUAUUCUUUCUUCUGCAAAAAGCCUUUAACUUACUGUUAAGGAAUUUGGCAGGGACUCACUGUCCCUUGGGUUAGAACAAUCCUGUUCCCUCUCUCCCAGCUCCCCAAGCACCUUCUGUGCUUCUUGUCUCUGUGCACGUCCUUCUGACUCCAACACAUCUCUGAUGUUGAGUAUUAAGGGUUUCAGCUCAGCAGACUGAGCUACUGCAAAUCCACACUUAAAAAAGACUUGGAAACACUGGGAGCUGGGAUGUGUCCCUGUGGAUUCACAGCAAUCUGAUGGAGCAAGGACAUUCAUGCCAUGCAGUGCUGAGAGGGUUUUUUAGGAUGAGGCAGUGGCUUUUACAAGAUUGCCUACUCCAGCUGCAAAAAGCAGGCAGGAUUUCCACACAUGUGCCCCAAACCAGGCUUGUUUUCCCAACUGAAUUGGCUGCUCUAAUAGAAAAUAUUCCUUCUCUUUGCAGACCGUCUUUUAUUUUUCUGCUAGACUAUAUUGGCUGCAGCAGCUCUACUGUCUGAAGAUUUCUCGUGUAGAGAGAGGCAAAGGAUGUCCUGACAUUAGCGCAAGAGAAGGGAAAACAAUUUCUAUCUACACUUCUUUUCCAUGUAGGCAGCCAUUUUAGAACUUGAAAGUCGCCCUAAAACCCCCUUUCCAAUCUCUUUGGAAAAGGUUUCCUGUCAAAUCUUUUUGGUUUCUUGUCAAAUCACCUUUUUUUUUUUCAGCCUUUCCCUGUGGUACAACCAGAAUAAAAUUUGAGCCCACAGAGAGACAUUGCAAUUGCUGACUGUCCUUUUCCCAUCCCCUCGGAGGAUUUACAGCCCAGCCUAAUCUAUGCAGAGCGAUGAAGCCCAGUCCUGUUCCAGGGCAUUCCUCUUGCUCAGCAACGGGGUCACUGGUGACUGAUGGCAGCUGGUGGCCUCCGAGGACAGAGAGGUCGAGUGAACCCAUGCAAAGUCCUUGGCUUGUGUUUCUGGCAUUGUCAGCAUUAAAAUAAGGUGUUUUACAUGUAGUGGAACCACAUGCACAAGAGAAGCCAUUGUGUGAGCAUCCCUGAGAGCUCUUCUCACCCCAGUGCAAGUGUUUUCUUCGGUCCUGUCUUGUGGGGGAGGGUCUGGAGAGAUAAGGGUCUUAUAGUCUAUAGACAAAUAUAUAUAUAUAUUUACUGCUGACAGAGAAAGAAAAGAUGAUUGUGUUUUUUCGGACAACAAAGCAGUUUUGUUUGCAGAGCCCAUUAGAAUGCUUUGUGGAUUCCCAACUGAUACAUUUUUGUUUUAAAGCGUUGGAGGUUCAUGAGCUGUUUGCAGGACCACUCCACAUGCAGGAGAAAUGCUCUUCUCCCCUCCCUGCUUUCUCCAAAAUUCCUUCCAAAGCUGCGGGGCCCUUCCUUUGAGGAGGCCCAAAAUUAUUUCUGGCUUUAUAAGCAUCCUUCAAAUGUUCUUCUCUUUUCCAUAAGAAAAUAUUUUCUCUCACAAUAACUACAGCUUUGGGGAUGGGUUUUUUGCUGUACCGGCCAGGAGCUACGGUUUGUUCUCUGCUUUAACUAAACAAUUUUAUUUUUACUCUCACCCCUUUCUUUUUCCCUCUUGCAACCUUAACUUUCUGACACUGCCUCCAGAUACCUUUUAACACGGUCGGUGGAAAUCUGUAACGCUGCCAUGGUCCUGUUAUUGUUUUGCUCUGAUUCUCUGAUAGCCACAAGGAUGGAGUCCUGCACAGCUUGUCCCGGAGGCAAGUAAAUAUUGACAGAUUAAUUCUUCUCAGAUGUACAGGCCAUCAAGGAGUAUUGUUUUAGGACCUGCUCCUGGGAGGUGAUUAACACCAUCAACUCCCGUUGCCCUCAGUGCAUGUGGGGACUCUGUGGGGACUGUCUCCCUCACAUGUCACCUCACAGCACCACUGCAGCUGCCUUCUGGCUUUUUGUGGAAAAACCCCCUCUGGAAUAUCAAGUAAAAAGUGAAGCCUGCAGUCAUUUUUUGACCCACUGUAGUCCUUAGGUAGGAUCCUGUUUUCUCUUCUGCAGACUCUUCAGGUCCCGUUUUUAUUCAAUUCAGUAAAUAUCUGGAGAGCCUUGCUGGGUUUGUCCCCAUCACAUGAUAGAAAUUUUCCACAUGGAAGUAGAAUCUGUUUUCCAGAGCUGUGAGACAUUUCCUUUUCCAUGAAAAAACCCCAGCAAUGCCUAACUGCUGCUUAUUUUGUCCCUGCUCAUUUUCUGCUCGUAUUUCAUAAACCCUACUCUGCCUUAGAGUGCUGGGAGAUUUUGGUGAAGUUUAUGUGACCCAGUAGAGCCACUGCAAUGAUGAGGAGGGACAUGGGCUGAGGACACAGCAGGUGAGUCCAUGUGGAAAUAGGGAUUUACAGCAGUUCACACAGGUCCACAGAUUUUAUUCUCUCAUUGAUCCAUAUGGUUUUCAUGGCCUCUUCAUAUCUAAUCUAUUCCUAAUUCUGCACUUCUCCACAACAUCAGUUUCAGGGAUGACUCUCAUUUUUUCCCUCUUGACGAUAUUUUUAGGGAACAAAUCUGUUUCCCUUCUAAUAAAUAUAUUAUGUUGUGUCAGGCAGCUGUUGUUUUUCCUUCCUGAGAGAGAUGGCUGUUCUCUCUCCAUCUCUCACUCCUGAGGCUCCCAUGUUCCCUCCUGCUUGGAGAUCUCCUGGACCCAGCGCUGAUGCCGCUUCUUCUGGGGUGGGACUGGAAGGGAGGAGGGAUGGGUUUCCUCUCCAUCCCUAGACACGUGUGACGCUCUGCUGUCACUCCCUCCAGGCCAGAACCCUAACGCUGUCCUUCCCCCGUCCCCAGCCAUGUGCGGCGUCGUGGCGACCAUCUGGUUCCCGGUGUGCGCCCACCGCGAGACCACCAUCAUGAGCUUCGGCUACUCGCUGUACACGGGCUGGAUCGGCUCUGCCCUCUGCCUCUUUGGAGGCUGUGUCAUCGUCUGCUGCUCAGGAGACGCUCAGACCUUCGGGGAGAACCGCUUCUACUACGGCUCAGGAUCCAGCUCGCCCACCCACGCCAAGAGCGCCCACGUGUAGACGCCCCGGGGACGCCCCACGGCUGCCGUCCGAUGCUUUGGCUGGUGGGUUCGUGCGCCCUGGGUUUGCUUCUGCUGACACACGCGGCUGUCAGGCUCCCAGGGAGAGAUUUAGAAAAGCAGCACAAAUGUCUGGUAGUUUGAAGCAUUAUUCUCCCCAUCUCUUCCCCCUUUUCUCUAGAAAGACAGCUCCAGCCAGCCCUACCUCUUGGUCCUCACCGGUUUGUCCCGACCACCUGCCCCCAGCUUCUUGCAGCCAGGGUGGUUUGGGGUUGUGGUGUGGGGUUUAGGGAUUUUAGUUUAUCUUCUUGCUCCCCUGAUUAUAGGAGAGUUUAAAGCAAUAAAACAGAAAUGAGAGAGACACUUUCCCAUUGUUAGGAGGACUCUGACAGCUUCUCCCCCAUCCUCACUGUUUGAUUUCUCCCACUCAAGGUCACGGGUCUGGCAUGGCUAGGGAGAGAGGAUAGGGAGAAAGGCUGUCCUCUCCCACAGGGCAAAUGUUUCUCUUUUGGAACAAGAGGAGGGGAUUUUUCUGCCUUUCUCUGUAAAUACUUUUGUAUGAGUCUGAUCAUUUCAGUAACAGUGUUUCCCCUACCCCCACAGUCAUCAGUAUGAAGGAAACAGAACCCAAAGGUCCUAAUGACAUGAUAGAUAACAGUGCCUUUUUAAAUAGUUAUAAAUGACUUUGGGGGCUCUAAUCCCUGCCCUCUGCUUCAGUUUCUUUUUUUUUUUUCUUUUGUACAGAUCAGUUACUAAAAAGUGUAUUUUUACAUUUUUUUAAACUCCUUUCUUUCUUCCUCUAAGUUUGUGUUCUGUCUUGCCUCGUUAAAGCAGCACAUUUUAACAUGCGGUAUAAUGUACCUGUUACAAUACAAUUCUGGUGAGUACUGAUGAUGCCUUUGUACUUUCAGUGAAAUACUGUACAAUAAAUAACAGAGUACCUGCAA